rnacentral:rRNA from 1 species
UACGUAGGGCGCAAGCGUUAUCCGGAAUUAUUGGGCGUAAAGAGCUCGUAGGCGGUUUGUCGCGUCUGCCGUGAAAGUCCGGGGCUCAACUCCGGAUCUGCGGUGGGUACGGGCAGACUAGAGUGCGGUAGGGGAGAAUGGAAUUCCUGGUGUAGCGGUGGAAUGCGCAGAUAUCAGGAGGAACACCGAUGGCGAAGGCAGUUCUCUGGGCCGUAACUGACGCUGAGGAGCGAAAGCGUGGGGAGCGAACAGG